UGACGAGUGGCGGACGGGUGAGUAAUGUCUGGGAAACUGCCUGAUGGAGGGGGAUAACUACUGGAAACGGUGGCUAAUACCGCAUAACGUCGCAAGACCAAAGAGGGGGACCUUCGGGCCUCUUGCCAUCAGAUGUGCCCAGAUGGGAUUAGCUAGUUGGUGAGGUAACGGCUCACCAAGGCGACGAUCCCUAGCUGGUCUGAGAGGAUGACCAGCCACACUGGAACUGAGACACGGUCCAGACUCCUACGGGAGGCAGCAGUGGGGAAUAUUGCACAAUGGGCGCAAGCCUGAUGCAGCCAUGCCGCGUGUAUGAAGAAGGCCUUCGGGUUGUAAAGUACUUUCAGCGGGGAGGAAGGUGUUGUGGUUAAUAACCGCAGCAAUUGACGUUACCCGCAGAAGAAGCACCGGCUAACUCCGUGCCAGCAGCCGCGGUAAUACGGAGGGUGCAAGCGUUAAUCGGAAUUACUGGGCGUAAAGCGCACGCAGGCGGUCUGUCAAGUCGGAUGUGAAAUCCCCGGGCUCAACCUGGGAACUGCAUUCGAAACUGGCAGGCUUGAGUCUUGUAGAGGGGGGUAGAAUUCCAGGUGUAGCGGUGAAAUGCGUAGAGAUCUGGAGGAAUACCGGUGGCGAAGGCGGCCCCCUGGACAAAGACUGACGCUCAGGUGCGAAAGCGUGGGGAGCAAACAGGAUUAGAUACCCUGGUAGUCCACGCCGUAAACGAUGUCUACUUGGAGGUUGUGCCCUUGAGGCGUGGCUUCCGGAGCUAACGCGUUAAGUAGACCGCCUGGGGAGUACGGCCGCAAGGUUAAAACUCAAAUGAAUUGACGGGGGCCCGCACAAGCGGUGGAGCAUGUGGUUUAAUUCGAUGCAACGCGAAGAACCUUACCUGGUCUUGACAUCCACAGAAGAAUCCAGAGAUGGAUUUGUGCCUUCGGGAACUGUGAGACAGGUGCUGCAUGGCUGUCGUCAGCUCGUGUUGUGAAAUGUUGGGUUAAGUCCCGCAACGAGCGCAACCCUUAUCCUUUGUUGCCAGCGGUCCGGCCGGGAACUCAAAGGAGACUGCCAGUGAUAAACUGGAGGAAGGUGGGGAUGACGUCAAGUCAUCAUGGCCCUUACGACCAGGGCUACACACGUGCUACAAUGGCGCAUACAAAGAGAAGCGACCUCGCGAGAGCAAGCGGACCUCAUAAAGUGCGUCGUAGUCCGGAUUGGAGUCUGCAACUCGACUCCAUGAAGUCGGAAUCGCUAGUAAUCGUGGAUCAGAAUGCCACGGUGAAUACGUUCCCGGGCCUUGUACACACCGCCCGUCACACCAUGGGAGUGGGUUGCAAAAGAAGUAGGUAGCUUAACCUUCGGGAGGGCGCUUACCACUUUGUGAUUCAUGACUGGGGUGAAGUCGUAACAAGGUAACCGUAGGGGAACCUGCGGUUGGAUCACCUCCUUACCU
rnacentral:rRNA from 1 species